GGACCCGGAAGUGGGGGGCUGCGGCGGGAGGUGAGGGCCGCCUGCCUGGCCGGACCCCAGGGGUGUCGGACGGUGGGCAGGGCCUCCUGGGAUCCCUGAGGCGCCGGCAGGAGGAGACGCCCUGGGGUCGGUGCCUCCACCUUCCCGUCCGGGCGGUUACAGCUUUCCCGCGUUCGCUGUCAGAGGCAGGGACCGGCGACCUCGGGGGCCUGGUCCCUGAGCCACAGCGGGGAGUCGUCCGAGCAUCUCGGGAUGAGGAAGGAGCCUGUGACUGACUACAGCAGGAGAGCAGGCGUGGCAUGGAUCCCGUGCAAGCCGGCAGUGGAGACCCAGCGCCUGAGAGUGACGUGGGGAACUAGCAGGAGCUAGAAGUGACUUAGGACGAGCUUUUGUAAAGCUGAGGUGUGAGUGUAAUAUCAGGAUGAUUUGACUGCAAGCAACAGAGAAUCAAACAGAAAUGGCCUAGGGAGUCCCUUCGUGGCUCCCCAGUUAACAAUCUGACUGGAUCAUGAGGAUGCAGGUUCAAUCCCCGGCCUCUAUCAGUGGGUGAAGGAUCUAGUGCUACCAUGAGCUGUGCUGUGGUGUAGGCUGGCGGCCGCAGCUCCAGUUGGACCCCUAGCCCGGGAACUUCCAUAUGCUGUGGGUGCAGCCCUAAAAAGCAAAAACAAACAAAAAAAUGAAACAAAACAAAACAAAAAAUCCACAAAAAAAUCAGAAAUGGCCUAAACAAAGAAGAAAACGUGUUAUCCCAUACUACAAGAAGUUUGGGGAUUGAGUGAGUGGUUAAAUGCAUGAUUAGUUUAGAAACUUGACAGCACCACCCAGGACCCAUUUUCCCUAAGGCGCUGCUGCCCCCCACCCUGUAGGCUUAGCCACCGCAGCAAAGACACCCCCCUUCCCCAACCAGAGCCCUGCGUCAGGACUGGAAGGGGCCUCCUUCCCUCCAUCCCCUUCCAGAACCUCCGCAGAAGACUCCCCUUGACGUCUCAUUCCAUCCCAUACUGGUCACUUUGCAGGGGAACGGAUUUACCAUGGUGGCCAGAGACAAUUAAGUCGCCCCCAUCUCUGGAGAACACUUGACCACUCAGUACCCAGCAACUCGGGUACUCCUGGCAAGAAAGAGACAGGUGAUACCCACUGGGUCCUGUCCACAGCGCCUGCCCCCAGCAACCUGUCUACCUGGAAAACUGAGGGGGUGCCACGCGGGUCUGUGUCUUCUCUGUAGUUUGCCCGAGUCUUUCCCAUUAGGUAAGUGUCGCCCUUUUCCCUCUUUGCGGCUUUCCUCCUUGGCACGUCACCCAGGUUUUGUUCAGCCACAAGGGGCGAUAGGCUGAAAGAGGAAUCUCCAGGCCUAGGUGAUGGGCCAGCCGUGGUGAUCCUCACCCGUUUGCCUGGGCACCGUUUGGGAAACGUCCCCCUGCUCACCACGGAGAUGAAAGACCAGGUCCCUGGAGGGGCUUCGCGGAAGGAUUUUUCUCCCCAGUAAAGCGGCAGACAAGCCAAGGGUCCGCCGCCCUACGCGCCGUCUGCCUUGAGCCGCCGCCAGCUCACAUCCUUGAGCAGAAACGUUGCAGGGAGGCAGAAAGCGCCGAGUCUCAUGGAUCGUGCUGAGCGUUGCAUCCACCCAGGACUGCUUACCUUCAGACUUCUGCUCCGGUGGCAGAGCAGCAAACCCCUAUUGUGUAAGCCUUUGUAGAUGGCUGGUGCCACUUGCUGCUGAAAGUGACAGAUAAUCUUUCUAGGAAUAUAACCCCUAAAGCCCUUUAUGGUAACAGAUGCACUUAGAGAAUGUAGUUUUCUUUCUUUUUCUUACUUAAAAAAAAAAAAAAAAAAAGCUGAAGUCUGCCUCAGGCAAAAAGACAAACUGAAAACAUAUGUAUGCAUAAUUGAAGUGCAAUCAAUAUUCAUUAGAAAAUGAACGAAUGUUCUUCAGGUUACUUUAAUAGUUUUCUCGGGAAUCUGUUUUUGGAUACGUAUGUCAGCUACAAUAUUUGGCACUUCCAGGAGCUCUGUGUUGAUGUCCUUCCUAGAAGUUGCACUUCUGCGCAUUUUUCUGCGCCUUUGGGGUCUCAGAUGUUCCUGGAAGGAAUCACUUUUCACUCCCCUGGCUUUUCCCUCGAACAGGUAACUUGUAACUUGCUGUUGCCUAUAGAUAUCGAGCAUUUGUCCAAAAAUAUGUUCCUACAAUACCUUCCUGUCUCAGCCAUUCCAUUCACAAGACAGUUUAAACAUUUCUCCAUGCUAUUCCACAGAUCAUUCAUAGAGGAACCAUCUGAACCAUGCAACAAAGUCUAGAAACUUUUAUGACUUUUAACUUCCACGACAAGUUAUCAUGUACUUGGUACCCUCAGCCAGGUACAUGUUAAGCUCAGGUUUCAUGUAUGUUAGCGUGGAGCCAUAUUUCCUUGUGGAUAAACCUAUAGAUUUAUCCCCACCCCCACUUCCCUUCCCAGAAGUAACUGUUGCCUUGACAACAGGGUAAGGACAGCAGUGAUGACGGCUGUGAUAACGAUUAUGAUAAUGAUGGCAGGAGAAACUGUAUGCUGGCCAUUAUCUAAGCACUUUACAUGCAUUAGCUCCUUUAACGCCCAAGGAGGCAUGUGACAGAAAUGCUAUUUUUAUCCCCGUGUUAGAGAUGAGGGCUGAGGAAAGACUGGUGAGGUGCCUUGCCCAAGGCCACACGUCUGGUCCCCAGAGAAGCCAGGCUUCCUACCCAGGCAACCCAGGGGUCCCAUACACUGUCGCUGCCUGAUAGGUAGCAGUGGUGGUGAUACACACUUCCUCUAGGUACAUGCGCAUCCAUAAUAAAGACGCAGUAGACUUAUUUGCAUAUUUUAAAAAGUGUAUGGUUUCAGAACAUUUGUUGUUUUUCCCUGUUAUGAAUCGUGUCGCAGUAAACGUCUCGCGUGCAUC
rnacentral:lncRNA from 1 species